rnacentral:rRNA from 1 species
AAUGAACGUUGGCGGCGUGGAUUAGGCAUGCAAGUCGAGCGAGAAUCCGCUUUCGGGCGGAGGACAGCGGCGAAAGGGAGAGUAACGCGUGGUUAUCUACCCUCGGAACCGGGAUAGCCGCGGGAAACUGCGGGUAAUACCGGAUAACGUCUACGGACCAAAGGUGUGAUUCCGUCUGAGGAUGAGACCGCGUCCUAUUAGCUAGUUGGCGGGGUAAUGGCCCACCAAGGCAAUGAUGGGUACUGGGUGUGAGAGCACGACCCGGCUCACUGGGACUGAGACACUGCCCAGACACCUACGGGUGGCUGCAGUCGAGGAUCUUCGGCAAUGGGCGCAAGCCUGACCGAGCGACGCCGCGUGUGGGAUGAAGGCCUUCGGGUUGUAAACCACUGUCAGAGGGGAUGAAAUGCAGGUGGGUUCUCCCACUUGUUUGACAUAUCCUCAGAGGAAGUACGGGCUAAGUUCGUGCCAGCCGCCGCAGUAAAAC